GAUGAACGCUGGCGGCGUGCCUAAUACAUGCAAGUCGAGCGAACAGACGAGGAGAUUGCUCCUCUGACGUUAGCGGCGGACGGGUGAGUAACACGUGGAUAACCUACCUAUAAGACUGGGAUAACUUCGGGAAACCGGAGCCAAUACCGGAUAAUAUAUUGAACCGCAUGGUUCAAUAGUGAAAGACGGUUUUGCUGUCACUUAUAGAUGGAUCCGCGCCGCAUUAGCUAGUUGGUAAGGUAACGGCUUACCAAGGCAACGAUGCGUAGCCGACCUGAGAGGGUGAUCGGCCACACUGGAACUGAGACACGGUCCAGACUCCUACGGGAGGCAGCAGUAGGGAAUCUUCCGCAAUGGGCGAAAGCCUGACGGAGCAACGCCGCGUGAGUGAUGAAGGUCUUCGGAUCGUAAAGCUCUGUUAUUAGGGAAGAACAAAUGUGUAAGUAACUAUGCACGUCUUGACGGUACCUAAUCAGAAAGCCACGGCUAACUACGUG
rnacentral:rRNA from 1 species